AUGUUUCAGAUGUGGGACUAACUAUGACCAUGAAGGUGGUCUUCCGAAGGUACGGCUCAUCCAUUGGUCUCCACGUUUGUUGACCCCUGGGAUUUCCCCAACUGUGUGAAAUCGACUGCAUAAUUUGUGAACCAGUAGGGUGUUUAUUCCCAUUCCUAAG
rnacentral:snRNA from 1 species